CCUGGUUCCUGAACACCUGGAUCCUGAACACCUGGAUCCUGAACACCUGGGCUGUGUCUGAAAUCACUCCCUAUCCACUAUGUAGUGGACACGCCAUUUUGUAGUGCAGUCUGAAUUCUGAGGACUGAUGACGAUGUAGCCCAGCUGAUCCGGCUGAGGAGGGAGAAGGACCACCCCUUCAGCGGGAGGCGGUUUGCUGCUGCUGCAGGAUGGGAAACUUUGCUGAAAGACAUGCUGCUGUCUGAUCGAGUCAGUCCUGCUCGGGCGGAUAAAAAGUGGGAGAACUUGAAGAAAACGUACAAGUCAUGAUCAUCCAGAGCUGGCGGAUUUUCAAUCGGGGCUGAAAGAGCAGCAGCCAUGCGUCCACGCAGCUGCUCCCCACACUGCGAGUCAGGCUGAAGCUUGCCGUCUCCAUCAUCCGGCCUCAGUGCCUCUUCAACUGGCUCAAUUGUGUCGCCAUCCCUGAGGCAGAAAUUGUGGAGGAUGGCACAACAAGCCACCACCUCCACAGAGAACACAGGGCUCACUUCUAGGGCCUUGAAAAAGACGGAGCGCCAUCUAGCCUUCAUAAUACCAAAGGCCCGCUCGAUAACUGUCAUGAUUUGGUUUUGAAUUUGACUUUCCCUGUUUUACCCCAGUGCUGCUUGUUUCCCUUGUGUGUUAAUGUUUCCUAGUGUUGAUGGUUUCCUAGUUUUGUCUUCAGUGUUUUCUGUUUUAUU